AUCCAGCUAACGAGUCCCAAAUAGGAAGAAAUGCGCGUCCUGGAU
rnacentral:hammerhead_ribozyme from 1 species